rnacentral:lncRNA from 1 species
GAAACUCAAAUGGAAUUUGAAGUCUCCGAUGCUAUUCAAGUUCCAUCAAAUUCAAUGCAAGAUUCGAUCUUGACAAUUCCUUUAUUGCCACUAGAACUCAUCACUUAAAUUCUGUUGAGGCUUCCAGUGAAAUCCCUCUUGAAAUUCAGGUCUGUUUCACAAUCUUGACUUGCUUUAAUCUCUAAUCAUGUAUUUAUCAAGACUCAUCUUAGUUUAUCUGCUAAUAACAAGAAUACGGAAGACACCCACCAUGUACUUUUUUUGGAUAUUGGUGGAAAGAAAUGGAAUUACAAAGAAUGUCCUCUUAAAUCUUUAUUUUAUGACGCUGUUACCGUGGCUCUUGAAUUGGAUUUUUCCAUUGAAAACGACAUGUAUUGGCUCUAUGUUAAGGGUUCUUGCAAUGGAUUGGUUUAUCUUGCCCAUGAUAGUUUAGAAUAUUCCCUUUUAUGGAAUCCAACAACUAGAAAGCACAAGAAUUUGCCACUUUUUAGACCUAGAUUGAAAAAAUAGGAACGCGCAUAUGGUUUUGGAUAUGAUGAGCUCCAUGAUGAUUAUAAGGUAGUGAUUAUUUCUUAUAAUUAUAUUGUUCGCGAUUCAGAUGACAUUGAGGUCAAAGUAUAUAGUCUAAAGAGUGAUUCUUGGACUAGUGUUGAUUAUUGUGAUGAGACAUUCUCUAACAAAAAAAGUGUUGGUUAUUGUGGGGAUAGAUUAAUUUUUUGAAGGCUCUUUUGUGGAUGGAAAAUUUCAUUGGGGUACUUCUAUUUCUGAUCCUGAUCCUAAUGUGCGUAAAGGUAGGAACAUUAUUGCUUUUGAUUUAGCUAAUGAGAAAUGGGAAAAGGUGGAGAAGCCCUCCUAUGGAGAAGGAGAGACUGAAUUGCUUGUGGGAAAGUUAGGAAGUCAUCUUUCUGUCUUCUGUGAUUAUAAGACAACUCAUUUAGGUGCUUGGGUUAUGAAGGAGUAUGGAGUGAAAGAAAGUUGGAUAAAGAUGUUUACCAUCAGGUAUCCAAAUGAUCCAGAAUGGUAUCCAAGCUUUUUCAUGUCAAAUAAAGGUGAAAUAUUGUCGGUGUUUAGAGCAACUUCCAUGAUAUACAAUUUAAAUGAUGACUCAUUCAGAUAUUCAGAUGUUACUAACUGUCAUGACGGUUGAUAUGCACAAUUCUACCUUGAAAGCCUAGCUUGCCCUUUUUCAACCCAAGGGACAGAGGACGCCAAAAAGCUGCUCGUAUCAAAACAAUCGAGUGACAAAUAACUUGUAAGAGUACUUUCUUCUCAAGUGCUUUCAAAUUCUGUUUGUUAUUUCAAAUAUUAAACAAGACACACAUGUGAAGGAUCUCUUUAAACUAUAUUGCUUCUGGAUUAGUUUUGGUUGUCUCCUUGCUGCUAAUCGUUAGAUGUAUAUUUUCUUCCAGACGAAUUACUUGUCAUUCCAUUUUGGUCAUUUCUUUCCCUUUGACAGUACCACUAACACAAGCAACACUGCAAUGCAAGGAUAAAGAACUUAGGAGGCUCAUUUUAUCUGCUUUGAUCAUGAGGGUAGGGUGGGGAUACCAAAGAAAAAGAAUAUAAGAGAAAGAGAGUUCGGAAUGAACUUCGUUUGAGAGGGUCC